AUUGAACGCUGGCGGCAGGCCUAACACAUGCAAGUCGAACGAGUGGCGGACGGGUGUGUAAUGUCUGGGACACUGCCUGAUGGAGGGGGAUAACUACUGGAAACGGUAGCUAAUACCGAAUAACAUCGGAUGUGCCCAGAUGGGAUUAGGUAGUAGGUGGGGUAAAGGCUCACCUAGGCGAAGGUCCCUAGCUGGUCUGAGGGGAUGACCAGCCACACUGGAACGGAGACACGGUCCAGACUCCUAGGGGAGGCAGCAGGGGGGAAUAUUGCACAAUGGGCGCAAGCCUGAUGCAGCCAUGCCGCGUGUAUGAAGAAGGCCUUCGGGUUGUAAAGUACUUUCAGCGGGGAGGCGUUACCCGCAGAAGAAGCACCGGCUAACUCCGUGCCAGCGGCCGCGGUAAAC
rnacentral:rRNA from 1 species